rnacentral:rRNA from 1 species
AUUGAACGCUGGCGGCAGGCAACACAUGCAAGUCGAGCGGUAACAGAGAGUAGCUUGCUACUCUGCUGACGAGCGGCGGACGGGUGAGUAAUGCUUGGGAAUAUGCCUUAUGGUGGGGGACAACAGUUGGAAACGACUGCUAAUACCGCAUGAUGUCUACGGACCAAAGUGGGGGACCUUCGGGCCUCACGCCAUAAGAUUAGCCCAAGUGGGAUUAGCUAGUUGGUGAGGUAAUGGCUCACCAAGGCGACGAUCCCUAGCUGGUUUGAGAGGAUGAUCAGCCACACUGGGACUGAGACACGGCCCAGACUCCUACGGGAGGCAGCAGUGGGGAAUAUUGCACAAUGGGCGCAAGCCUGAUGCAGCCAUGCCGCGUGUGUGAAGAAGGCCUUCGGGUUGUAAAGCACUUUCAGUAAGGAGGAAAGGUUAAGUGUUAAUAGCGCUUAGCUGUGACGUUACUUACAGAAGAAGCACCGGCUAACUCCGUGCCAGCAGCCGCGGUAAUACGGAGGGUGCGAGCGUUAAUCGGAAUUACUGGGCGUAAAGCGUACGCAGGCGGUUUGUUAAGCGAGAUGUGAAAGCCCCGGGCUCAACCUGGGAACUGCAUUUCGAACUGGCAAACUAGAGUGUGAUAGAGGGUGGUAGAAUUUCAGGUGUAGCGGUGAAAUGCGUAGAGAUCUGAAGGAAUACCGAUGGCGAAGGCAGCCACCUGGGUCAACACUGACGCUCAUGUACGAAAGCGUGGGGAGCAAACAGG